rnacentral:rRNA from 1 species
UACGUAGGUGACAAGCGUUGUCCGGAUUUACUGGGCGUAAAGAGCGCGCAGGCGGUCGAUCAAGUCGAGUGUGAAAGCCCCCGGCUCAACUAGGGAGGGUCAUUCGAUACUGAUCGACUCGAAGGCAGGAGAGGGUAGUGGAAUUCCCGGUGUAGUGGUGAAAUGCGUAGAUAUCUGGAGGAAUACCGGUGGCGAAGGCGGCAUCCUGGACCGGCAUUGACGCUGACGGAGCGAAAGCCAGGGGAGCAAAGCGGGA